rnacentral:rRNA from 1 species
CCUACGGGAGGCAGCAGUGGGGGAUAUUGCACAAUGGGGGAAACCCUGAUGCAGCGACGCCGCGUGGGCGAAGAAGUAUUUCGGUAUGUAAAGCCCUAUCAGCAGGGAAGAAGAAAUGACGGUACCUGAGUAAGAAGCACCGGCUAAAUACGUGCCAGCAGCCGCGGUAAUACGUAGGGUGCAAGCAUUAUCCGGAUUUACUGGGUGUAAAGGGAGCGUAGAUGGGUUGUUAAGUCAGUGGUCAAAUUGAGGGGCUCAACCCCUUCCCGCCAUUGAAACUGGCGCUCUUGAGUGGAAGAGAGGUAUGCGGAAUGCGUGGUGUAGCGGUGAAAUGCAUAGAUAUCACGCAGAACCCCGAUUGCGAAGGCAGCAUGCCGGCUUCCUACUGACGCUGAAGCACGAAAGCGUGGGGAUCGAACAGGAUUAGAUACCCCGGUAGUC